rnacentral:rRNA from 1 species
AGUGAACGCUGGCGGUAGGCCUAACACAUGCAAGUCGAACGGCAGCACAGUAAGAGCUUGCUCUUACGGGUGGCGAGUGGCGGACGGGUGAGGAAUACAUCGGAAUCUACUUUUUCGUGGGGGAUAACGUAGGGAGACUUACGCCAAUACCGCAUACGACCUACGGGUGAAAGCAGGGGAUCUUCGGACCUUGCGCGAUUGAAUGAGCCGAUGUCGGAUUAGCUAGUUGGCGGGGUAAAGGCCCACCAAGGCGACGAUCCGUAGCUGGUCUGAGAGGAUGAUCAGCCACACUGGAACUGAGACACGGUCCAGACUCCUACGGGAGGCAGCAGUGGGGAAUAUUGGACAAUGGGCGCAAGCCUGAUCCAGCCAUACCGCGUGGGUGAAGAAGGCCUUCGGGUUGUAAAGCCCUUUUGUUGGGAAAGAAAAGCAGCAGGUUAAUACCCCGCUGUUCUGACGGUACCCAAAGAAUAAGCACCGGCUAACUUCGUG